rnacentral:rRNA from 1 species
UACGUAGGGCGCAAGCGUUAUCCGGAAUUAUUGGGCGUAAAGAGCUCGUAGGCGGUUUGUCGCGUCUGCCGUGAAAGUCCGGGGCUCAACCUCCGGCCUGCAGUGGGUACGGGCAGACUAGAGUGCGGUAGGGGAGAUUGGAAUUCCUGGUGUAGCGGUGGAAUGCGCAGAUAUCAGGAGGAACACCGAUGGCGAAGGCAGAUCUCUGGGCCGUAACUGACGCUGAGGAGCGAAAGCAUGGGGAGCGAACAGG